UGAGAGGUGUGGCUGUAUCUAGGGGAAUUUGUAUUUAGCUGAACCCGCUAGCUAGCUAAAUUUCAGCUAGCGAUUGCUAUGAAGUCACCUAAAUUAUUUUAAAUAACGAUUGAGGUAGCUACACUAUGUAAUCUAACUCAACACUUAACUGCUACAAACUAAUUUGAAUUGCAAUCAAUAAUCAUAUGAAGCUUUAUUUAUACAGUUCACUACAGACAUGGAAUGCAACACAAUGUUCUUUACAGGAAAAAAUUAUAAAAAAUUAUGAAAAUAAAACCUGAAAUAUUUACUUCACAACAAAAAACUAAAAAGCACUCUAAGGAAAAGCAAAGCUAAAAAUAUGUGUUUUAAGAUCUCUUCUAAAUGUCCACAGUUUAGGCCUCCCUCAGGUUCUCUGGCAGGCUAUUCGAGAGGCUGGGGCAAUAAUAACUAAAGGCCUCCUUUCCAGGAGUCUUGGUCCUAGGCUUUGGGAUAGUGCCAGAGGACCUGAGGGACCUACUGUGUAGAUAACUUAAAAGUGUUUCUGACAUGUAUUGUGGUGCACAUUCGUGGAUUGAUUAAAAAAAUAAGAAUCUUAAAAUCAAUUCUAAAAGUCACAGGCAGCCAGUGCAGAGACCAUAAAUGUGUGUAAUGUGUGCUCUCCAUCUGAUCUUGGUCAGUACCCAUGCUGCAGCAUUCUGUAUGUUUUGCAGUUGACCAAUGGCUUUCUUGGGUAGACCAGACAGGAGAGCAUUACAGUAGCCAAGCCUUCUUGUAAUAAAAGCAUGGGUGUCUCUCUAUAACAGCCUGAGAGAGAAACAGCUGAACCAUGGCAAUGUUCCUCAGUUUGUAAAAAUCUAUUUUCGUCACAUUCCUAAUGUGUGAUAAAAAAUUUUGUUCAGAAUUGAAAAUAACACCUAGGUUUCUUUGCUGUUUUUUAUCUUUAUUGCCCGUGAAUUCAAAUGUGCAGCUAGAUUCUCUCUUGUGCUUUGGCUCCAACAAUAAGUACCUUGGUCUUGUCUUGAUUUAGCUGGAAGAAUUUGUGAGUAUUUAAAUCACUAUUACAGUGUAAUAAUUUAUUGUGGAGCACCUCUGGUGACACAGAAAUUUGUAUCUGCGUAGCAAUGCUGUGUUUUCUGAUAACACUGCCAAGGGGUAACAUAUUUAAACUGAACAGUACCGGACCCAAAAUCUAACCUUGUGGAAAACCACAUGUGAUGUGUAUUUUCUCUGAGUAUGUGUAUGUUCACCGCUAGCGGGACACCAGCCGACAACAUCCGGUGAAAUUGGACGGCGCGCAUUUCAAAUAAAUAAUUGUAAUAUUAAACAUUCAUGAACAUACAAGUAUCUUAUAUCAUUUAAAUGCUUAAAUUCUUGUUAAUCUAACUGCAUUGUCCGAUUUCCAAUAGGCUUUAGGGCGAAAGCAUACCAUGCGAUUGUCUGAGGACGGCGCCCCAAAUCAACAUAUUUUUCAACCAGCACAGGUUUCAUAAAAUCACAAAUACCGAUAAAUAAAAUCACUUACUUUUGAAGAUUUGGAAGAUUUUUUUGAAGAUUUUUUGUAGAAACCUUUGAAGAUUUUCCUCUGUUUGCAAUCCCAAGGGUCCCAGCUACAACAUGAUUGGUUGUUUUGUUAGAUAAAAUCAUUCUUUAUAUCCGAAAAAGUCUGUUUAGUUGUCCAAAAAGAUACCACUAAACUUUGUCCAAACAAGUCAAACGACGUUUCUAUUUCCUCCUCAGGUACUCUAAAAUGUAAAUAAAUUAUACUAUUUCAUACGGAAAGUAGUAUGUUCAAUAGGAAAGCAAAAGUAAGAGCGCCCUCUCCUUCGUGCGCCGAAUGACUGAUAUUGUUCCGGUGCUCUCCUAACCAAAACUCAAAAUUCUUGCUUGUUUUAAAAAAACAAGCCUGAGACCUUGAACAAAGACAUCUAGUGGAAGCCAUAGGAAUUGCAAUUACAUAGGUACAAUUAGUUUCCAUAAUGAGAGCCUGGGACCUUAACAAAACAUUUAUUCUGGUUGUUUUUUCUUUUGAUUUAUGCCUGCCAUAUCAAUUAUGUUAUAGCCUCAGACAUUAUUUAACAGUUGUAGAAACUUCAAAGUAUUUCCUAUCCAAUGCUACCAAUUAUAUGCAUAUCCUGGCUUCUGGGCCUGAGUAACAGGCAGUUUACUUUGGGCAUGUCAGUCAGGCAGAAACUCAGGAAACUAGACCCUACCCUAACAAGUUUUUAACAAUAGCUUGCACUUCUUCAGAUAUGCAAUUAAAACUGUUUUGAAGAAGGUGGUGGGGAUAGGAUCGAGAAGGCAGGUUUCUUAGAUUUUUCAGAGACCUCAAAAGUCAUCCCCUUAUGUGGUUUAAGCAUUGUUGUGAACACAGAAAAUCCAAUGUUGUUGUUUUCUAUGAAAAAGUGUGAAAAAACUGGGGUAAACCAUUAAAAAAAAAUCUGAAACCUGUAUAAACAAAACCAAGGAAACGGAAUUUGGGGAAAAUUUUUCCCCAAAAAUAUUAACUGAUUUUAAAAGGCUAUACCAACGUUUUUUUGCUGUGCAUGACUGCACUUUAGAGUGUGUGUCAUCCUGCAGCACAACAUUUUGGGGGAAGUUGAGAUCAGGUCCAAUAUUGAUUGUGCACCCAAGAGGCAAAGAGGUUGGACCAUCCUAGAAAUGUUUAGUGAAAUGUAAUAUAAUAUAUAACAUUUAGCAGACACUUUUAUCCAAAGCGACUUACAGUCAUGCCUGAAUAUAUUUUUAAGUAUGGCUGGUCCCAGGAAUCGAAACCCAAUAUCUAGGCGUUGCAAUGCUCUACCAAGAUGCAUGACAGGGUUAUAAAUGCUUUUUGAAGCCUCAAUUUGAAUGAUUUAUAAGGCUUUAUUAAGCGGUGCUUAUGCCACCCUAUAAAAAGCACAGAUUUAUGUCAUAUUUGACAUUGGUGGUUAUGUCACACAGUUAUGCCACAUUAAUGAGCCCUUAUAAGCUGCACGUCAUUUAAUGCGGGACCCAUUAGGUCAUGACUAUCAAAAGGCAUUUUAAGAAAUUGUAAAGAAAAAAACUCUGAAAACGCUGUUUUCUGCAACAUGAUAUCAUAGGGAAACAUAAGACCACAGGCUGUGAGGAUUGGCAACAACAUCUCCUGCACACUGACUCCUAAUUUAGAGACCCCCAGGGGUGUGUCCUCAGACCUUUGCUGUACUCCCUGUUCACGACACCAACUUCAUCAAGUUUGCUGACGAAACCAUUGUUGUAGGCCUAAUAACCAACAACGACGAGUCAGCCUAUAGGGAGAAUGUAAGUAACAACGUCUCCCUCAACAUCAGCAAAACAAAGAGGCUGAUUGUUGACUUCAGGAAACAGAGGGAACAUGGCCUGAUCAACAUCAACGGAACUGCAGUAGAGAGAGUCAGCAGUUUUAUGUUCUUCGGUGUCCACAUCACGGACCAACAACAUCACCAAUCUUGACAUGGACCAAGAACACCUCCAUUUCUCUACAUCCUAAGGUGACUGAAGAAAUUUGGCAUGCCACCCCGGGUCCUCUCCAAACACUACCCCUGGACCAUCGAGAGCGUCCUGACCGGUUGCAUCACAGGAAUUGCUCCGUCCACAACUGAAAGGACCUCCAGCGGGUGGUGACGACGGCACAUCACUGGGACCGUGCUCCCACCCAUCCAGGACAUUUACUCGAAACGGUGCCUGAGGAAGGCCAUCAACAUCAUCACACCCCAGCCACGAGCUGCAAGAGGUCUGAUAGAAACUGUCUCUGAGCCUGUUGCUAUCUCCAAGCCAUCAGACUGCUGAAUACUUCAACUGGACUGACCACGUGCACUGAUUCUCAGCACUUUAGCACACUUGCACUCACUCACACACCUACACAACCACACACCCAUGCUACACACACAUCAUGCUGCACACACACACAAAUCACAACUGAUGCUACCAGGCUCUUAUUAUGAUUGCUAAAUACUGCACGAUUUAAACACUUGCCCCCCAAUCCGUCCUUCCCUAAAACACGUGUAAAUAUUGGACUAUAAGUUGUGCCUUCCUCUAUCGAACUUAUGCUAAAAUGUUCAUCAUUACCUACUUCGCUAUCACUUUGUGUUUGUAUUCUUAUCUUUUGUUAUUUCUUAUUAUUUUUGCAUUGUCGAGAAGGAACCUGCAAUUAAGCAUUUAGUUGGAUGGUGUAUAGCAUGUGUAUCCCAUACAUACGACUAAUAAAACGUCAAACUGUCACAUUUUUGCAAUAAGUUAGGCAUCAACCACUUGAUGCUUAUGUCAAUACAUCACAGUCAAUGGG
rnacentral:lncRNA from 1 species